UUUCCAAUUGCUUUGUACCUUCCAAAAUUUGGUGAUAUAAAAGUGUUUAUUCUGCUUUGAGGACUGAGAAAGUACAGGGCCAUUGACUCUCUCUUUCAGACUGAGAACCAUGAUAUUAUGUCCAAUCCCCACCACUCCCCCUUCACCCCCUGCUGCCUCAUCCAUCCACCGCCCACCCUCAGAACCCCCACUUCUCAUUGUCUCCUCUAGCUCACCUGUCCAGUCAGUCCAGAACCCCCAACCCUCAGAGGAACAGAGAAAUAAGUAGGAGAGAAGAAUGAACCUGACACCAUUUCUGAAAAGCAGGGUAGCAGGAUAGAGUUGAGGAGAGCAGGCUAUUGUAGUAGGAACAGAGCACAGGGAUUAUUUAAACCCCUGGUUGUCCAGGCAGUCUGUGUGUGAGAGACCAGACGAGCCGAGGGAGGAAGAGAGAGAGAGAUAGACUGACUCCAAUGCAUGUGGGACCUGAGUAGACAGGAUACUGUGAGGAGGAACAGAGUAGACAGGAUGUUGUGAGGAGGAACAGAGUAGACAGGAUGCUGUGAGGAGGAACAGAGUAGACAGGAUGCUGUGAGGAGGAACAGAGUAGACAGGAUGCUGUGAGGAGGAACAGAGUAGACAGGAUGCUGUGAGGAGGAACAGAGUAGACAGGAUGCUGUGAGGAGGAACAGAGUAGACAGGAUACUGUGAGGAGGAACAGAGUAGACAGGAUGCUGUGAGGAGGAACAGAGUAAACAGGAUGCUGUGAGGGGGAACAGAGUAGACAGGAUGCUGUGAGGAGGAACAGAAUGGACAGGAUGCUGUGAGGAGGAACAGAGUAGGCAGGAUGCUGUGAGGAGGAACAGCGUAGACAGGAUGCUGUGAGGAGGAACAGAGUGGACAGGAUGUUGUGAGGAGGAACAGAGUAGACAGGAUGCUGUGAGGAGGAACAGAGUAGGCAGGAUGCUGUGAGGAGGAACAGAGUAGACAGGAUGCUGUGAGGAGGAACAGAGUAGACAGGAUGCUGUGAGGAGGAACAGAGUAGGCAGGAUGCUGUGAGGAGGAACAGAGUAGGCAGGAUGCUGUGAGGAGGACCAGAGUAGGCAGGAUGCUGUGAGGAGGAACAGAGUAAACAGGAUGGACAGGAUGCUGUGAGGAGGAACAGGGAAGAGUUGUCCCCCUCCUCAGCAUGCUGGCACCAGCUCGCACCAAUGUUACCACAUAGUGAAAC
rnacentral:lncRNA from 1 species